ACACACAUAGCUCCAGCAACUAUCCUGCCACCAAUUACAAAACACUCCUCAUUCACCCAUACUCCGACCCUAGUUCGGCCACAUAAACACACACCGACCUUAACUCACCGGCCUUAACUGACACACACCCACUCACCGACCUCAAUUCAGACACACACACACACAUACAUCAGCAGUACGCACACACACAACACUACUCAAGCAGAAAUAUCACCGCAAGCUACACGAUAUACACGCACCUACCGGCCUCAGUUCGGCAACACACACAACCUGCCACUAGCACCACUAUCGACACCACAACUCCCAUCUCUGCCGUUGCCAAUAUCGGCGCACCAACAUCCACAUCCACUGGCACUAAUAUCAGCACCUCAAUAUUUCCAACCAACAAAAUCACCAACGCCUACCCACUCUGUCGACGCCACACCAGAC
rnacentral:lncRNA from 1 species